GCUGAUGGUGUAGGGGUUAAGCAUGACCAUGUACAGAGGCUACAGUCCUCGAAGCGACUGUCCCGGGUUCAAGACCCGGACCCGGCAACA